UUAGACCCCAACUACCCCACUCUGCCCUGCAGGUUAGACCCCAACUACCCCACUCUGCCCUGCAGGUUAGACCCCAACUACCCCACUCUGCCCCUGCAGGUUAGACCCCAACUACCCCACUCUGCCCCUGCAGGUUAGACCCCAACUACCCCACUCUGCCCUGCAGGUUAGACCCCAACUACCCCACUCUGCCCCUGUAGGUUAGACCCCAACUACCCCACUCUGCCCUGCAGGUUAGACCCCAACUACCCCACUCUGCCCCUGCAGGUUAGACCUCAACUACCCCACUCUGCCCUGCAGGUUAGACCCCAACUACCCCACUCUGCCCCUGUAGGUUAGACCCCAACUACCCCACUCUGCCCCUGCAGGUUAGACCCCAACUACCCCACUCUGCCCUGCAGGUUAGACCCCAACUACCCCACUCUGCCCUGUAGGUUAGACCCCAACUACCCCACUCUGCCCUGCAGGUUAGACCCCAACUACCCCACUCUGCCCUGCAGGUUAGACCCCAACUACCCCACUCUGCCCUGCAGGUUAGACCCCAACUACCCCACUCUGCCCUGCAGGUUAGACCCCAACUACCCCACUCUGCCCCUGCAGGUUAGACCCCAACUACCCCACUCUGCCCUGCAGGUUAGACCCCAACUACCCCACUCUGCCCUGUAGGUUAGACCCCAACUACCCCACUCUGCCCUGCAGGUUAGACCCCAACUACCCCACUCUGCCCUGCAGGUUAGACCCCAACUACCCCACUCUG